GUCCACACUUGCCUAGGAGCUCCUUGAAAACAAAGACUAUGUCUAAAUUAUUCAUGCUGGCCCUUUGUAGGUGCCCAAUCAGUGUUUGGGGAAUGGAUGACUGACACACCAUCUACAUUAUGAAGCACAUUGUUACCUCCAGAGCGUCAAGAUACUCAAUUCAAUUUUGUAAGUGUUUAUUGAGCACCCACUAUGUGCCAGACACUGUUCUGGAAGUUUGGGAUAAACCAAUGAAUAAAAAUCACAAUGUUUCCUACCGUGGUGGAGCUCACAUUCCUAGCAGAGGGGAAAGAAAAUAAAAAAGAGACAUAAUAAUUUAAUUAUACAUUUAUUAGAGGUGAUUGAGUGCCAGAAAAAAAAAAAAGAAAGAAAAGGAACAGGCUAAGGAGAGAAGGAGUUUAUGGUGGUUGAGGGCUAUAGGUUCUAAAUAGGGAAUUCAGGGUAGGCCUUAUUGGAAAGGUGACAUAAGGUCAGCCUUGAAAAGGUGAAAGAGUGGCUGGGCACAGUGGCUCAUGUCUGUAAUCACAGCACUUUGGGAGGCCGAGGUAGGUGGAUCACCUGAGGUCAGGAGUUUGUGACCAGCCUGGCCAACGUGAUGAAACCUUAUGUCUACUAAAAAUACAAAAAUUAGCUGGGUGUGGUGGCACACACCUGUAGUCCCAGCUACUCAGGAAGCUGAGGCAGGAGAAUUGCUUGAACCCAGGAGGCAGAGGUUGCAGUGAGCCAAGAUUGCACCACUGCACUCCAGCCUGGACAACAGAGUGAGACUCUGUCACAAAAAAGAAAAGAAAAGGUGAAGGAGUUUGCCAAGCCAAUGGAGUGAGACUCUGUCUCAAAGAAGAAAGAAAGAAAAGAAAAGAAAAGAAAAAAAAGAAAGAAAAGAAAAGAAAAGAAAAAGAAAAGGUGAAGGAGUUUGCCAAGCUGAUAAUGGAAGAAAGAGCUCCAAGUGAAAAAAAAACAGCCAGUGCAAAGAUUCCAAGCUGGAAUGUGCCUGGUGGAGGCCAGGGAGGUGGAGAGAAGUGUGCAACAAUGGGGGCAGUAGGAGAGGAAGACAGACAGGCAACAGGGUCAUAUGUGGUGGGGCUUUACUGUCAUUGUAAGGACAUUAGCUUUUGUUCUGAGUGAAUCGGGGAGUUAUUGUAGGGAUCCAGUGAGAUUAAAUACAGAUUUUAGCAAUGUGAUUUCACUGAAAUUUACUUUGGAUUGGUGUAUGUAUGGAGCGGUCAGUAAUAUGAUAUAUGUGAUUUUGGGAGGAGGUCUGAUUUUUUAAGAAAAAAAUCCCACCAACUACAACUGAUAAUUUUAUUAAAAUAAUUCCUUUUCCCCAUGAUCACAAAUGAUCACAUCUUUAUCAAUGUCAACUGUUUUCAGCUGCCUGACUUAUUUUCCCUUUAUUUAUACUGGAUUUCUUUCCAUUAUAAGGUUUCAUUUGAACAGUCAAUCAACUGCUUGAGAAAUAGACUCACUGCUAUAACAUUACCCAUUCAUUUAAAACUUGAAUUUUCACUCCAUUGAGAGAUCCUAAGACUGUAGCUGUGUGCUAGUUACUAUGCUGGAUAGCCACUGAGGUGAACAAGACCCUGUCAUCACUGCUAAGGAGUUCAUGCUCAAUAUAUAAACUAUUUAUCAUCAAUGCAACAAGACAAAUGCUGUGUGAGAGAGGUCGGUACUUGGCAGCUUGGAGGUCUUAUGGGGCACAGUUAACCCUGUGCAUGUUAGGAAAGUGACCUCUUGUGCAACACCUCUCAUCAUCUCAGCACACCUUUUACUCCAGCUAUUGCCAUGGCAACAAGCUUCACACAAGUGCAAACUGACAGCACCGUGCAUCUCUCCCUUUCUGCAUCAGGGCUCCUCAGGCUCAAGCACAACCUGGAAAAACGAAGGUGUUAAUGUUCCAUGAGGCAACUGAUGACCAAUGGGGAGCAGGAGCUGGUGAAUGAAUGUUCCCUUCAUCCAUCCUGCAGGUAACAGUUCUGAAGUCCAUCCUUUGCAGAUCCUCAAGUGGUCCAUGUUUGGUGGAGCUCCAGUGGCCCACAGAAGGGAACAACUCAGUAUUUAUUUUAUAUUGACUCUCUCCCCUUCACUGUUUCCCUCUUUUCCAGUCCUGCUCCAUAAGCCUUGGGAUCACUUCCUAAAUAAAUCAUGAUCUUCAAGCCCUAUCUCAGGUUCUGCUUUCCUGGGGAAGUCCCAAAUUAAGACAGUAGUGUUUGACCUGGGUUUUGAAAAUUGAGCAUGAGUUUUUUAAGUGGAGAAAUAGAGAUAGAGAAAGAACAUUCCAGGCAAAGGGAGAAACAUGAGCAAAGGUCAGUGGGCAUGAACGGUACAGAAUGUGUUUAGGGAUUAGCAGUAAUAUACUGUGGCUGAAGCAUGGGGUAUACAGAGAGUCUGAGGAGGAGAUUACUGGUGGGAAGUUUUGUUGGUUGAGAAACACCUAUCAGAUAUACUGAGCUAAGAAUACUGGAAAAAUGUUCACCCAAAAUUAUGUUUGUUGUUUGCUUUCCUCUCGAGCUUCUACAUUGUUCUUCAUCUCUGGGAAAUCAGUGACCCAUGGACUGGACAAUAACUUUGAGCCAUGCAGUCAAAAUAAAAUGGAAUAUUUAAGUGAAAGAUCAGGUUCUGGAAAAUAAAACUGCUCGUAGCUGCAUAUUAUCUACCGAACUUAGGUGGAUUCUCAGAAAGAAAAAGGUGAUGUUCACUGGCAUGAACAGUGAAUGGUGGAGUGGAACGUGAACAGGCUGGAGCUCUGGCUGUGCCAUUUAUUAGCCAUGUGCCUUUAGAAGGUCCUCAUCUUCUCCAGCCUCAGUUUCACCAUCUGUAAUGGUAGGUAAGAACCUCUACUUCAGAAGGCUGUUGGAAAGACGAAAUGGUAUGAGACAAAAUGAAAUAAUGACAUCCUAAGUGGAAAGGGCUCGCCUGGGGUCUGGUUAACAAGUAUCACUGCCUCAGGUAACAGUCUUUCUCAGCAGUGCUGCAUACAAACCUCCUCUGGCUUUGACCUUAACAGCCAUUGUAGGUCAGUGUUCAUAGCAGCCCCCACUCAAGUGAGGGUCCAGCUCUGCAAUGAGUUGUGCCUAAGAAGGUCACAGGGGACCAGCCCCUGCUGUGUAGCGCAGGGAGGAGGGCUCUGUCAUUUCUGGCCAUCAUGGCCCUUUGCAGUCAGCCUCAGCCUGAGAUAAAUAUCACACUCUUGCAUCUCACUUUAUAUCUGAGAUCAUCUGGCCCUGCCCACAUCCUCCUCUGCUAAAUGAGUAGAACAGACGGACUCUAAAGCUGCAGAAUGAUUUUAAAAAUAAAUAAAACCAAAUAACAACUUGAGUCUAAUGAUUUCCCUUCAGGUUGUGCAAGCAGGAAAGUUUAAAAUCACAUAAGAAUGACUUGAGGGAAAAGAACACCCCUUUCUGCUCCCGGUAAACACAAUCAGCUUUGCUGGUCUGGGUUUUUUAAUGAUCUGCAUUUACAGGAGUAUCCAUGACCCAGAGAGAGUAUCAGUGUCAAGAAUCUGCCAGUGAGAAAGUGAUUUGAAGCAGCUCUGGAGUUCAGAUGGCCACGGGUGCAAGUGCCUGCUCUGGUGUGCUUUGCCUCUGGAAAGAUGCCAAGUCUUUGAGAAUCUUUGCUGCAUCAGCCAUGCUACAUCCUGAGGACUUGGAGGUGAGGAAAUCCUGUGUGCACUUGUUUCCUUCCCUUCAAAUGAUAUAUCCCAGAAAAAUGGCAAGCUCUCUGCUUACUAACUCUUUUCUUUUUCUUUAGUUCCCCCUUAGCUUUCUCUCUCCUUUCUUCCGUCUUUCUCUUGCCUCCUUUCAUUUUUGGUAAAAUCCAAAGCGAAAUGUCAACUCAGAGGACAUAGCUGUUUGUCUUCACCACCUACAAACUGUAUUUCCUGGAUCAAGCCGCUUAACUCCAUUGAACUGUUUUUAGCAUCCUGAAAAUGGGGAAUCACACUUUCCACUUAUCCAAGCAUUUGCUCAUUCGUUUAUUAAUAAUGUAACACCCUUGAAUGCCAGGCCCUGAACUGAAGAUAUGGUCCUGACCCACUGGGUAGUCACAGGAGAGUGGAGAAUAAUGCUUCAUUUGCUAUGUUGCUUCAAGAAUUACAUAAAAUAAGGCAGUUAAAAAUAUUUUGUGAACCAAAUAGUGCAUUAUGAAAAGAUAUUAACACUUCUUACUUUCUUAUAGCAAUUUCUAAAUGAUUUAAUUUCUGCCAUCAAAAUAUCCCCCUUGUGUUGAUCUAAACCAUCAGAUUGCAAGGUAAAGCCCUGAUGUAACUGAUGAGAUGAAGAACACUGUAUGGCCAUUAUUUUAGGUACGAUAAACAUUUGACUUCUCUUACAGAGACCUAAGGAAAAUGACUUAAAUAGGGUAGAAAUGUCUUUCUCAUGUAACAAGCCAUGCAUUAGCAGACCAGGGCUAGUGUGACAGUUCCUCCAUGGGUCACUGUGUGGUUCAUUAAGGUGUUGUCCUCCUUGGCAUGACCCACGAUGGCUGCCAGUGUAACAGCUGAAUGUCAACCAGCAAGACAGAGGUGAGGGGUGGGGAGGAGGGCAUGCCUCUUCCCUCUGAGAAAUUGCCCACCUACUUCUGUUUAUGUCCCAUGAGCCAAAAUUUAGAAUUAGGUGUCUCCACCUAGCUUCAGGGAGGCUUGGGAACUGAAGUCUUUAUCCUGGGCAUUCUAGCAUACCCUACAUCCAAUCUGUCAAAGUUGCAUUUAGAAUCCAGCCCCUUCUCACCACCUUUACUUCUUUCAUGGCGGUCCAAGCCACUUUCACUGGAUGACGGCAGUAGCCACCUAACUGGCUUCUCUGCUUCUUCUCUUGCCCUCCACUGAAAUCUUUGCUCAGCGCACGUUGAAUAAUGACUCUUUUAGGAUGUAAGCCAGAUUUUUCAACUCCUCUGCUCAAACCCCUGCAAUGGCUUGCUAGGCCCUGUGGGAUUAGGCCUUUGCUACCUGUCCCUUCCUUCCAUCCUCCCUCCUCCCUUGCUUACUCCACUCCAGCCACAUCUGCUCCCUUCCUGGCCUCAGGAAGGCAGACAUGCUGUUGGGUAGGGAUUUUCAUCGGUCGUUCCUUCAGCCUAAAAAUUGUCCAUUUCAGAUAUUCACAGGGCUCAUUCCCUCGCCUCCUUCAAAUCUUUCCUCAAAUGUCACCUUCUUAUAGAGGUCUAUCAUGACUUCUCUACUUAAAAUGGCAAGACCUGCUUCCCAACUUUUGGCACUCCUAAUCUGCCUUAUCUUAUUCUUUUUUUUUUUUUUUUUUUUUUCACAGCAGGGACAUUUUCUAAUAUAGGUUUAUACUUUACUUAUUUACUAUCUUUAGUGUGUGUGUGUGUGUGUGCCUCUUCCCUUGCUAGAAUGACAGCUCCCUGAAGGCAAGGAUUUUUUUUUCUUCCCUGAUGUAUCCCCAGUACCUAAAAGAGUGCCUGGUGUAUAAUAGAUAAUAAAUAUUUCUUGAAUAUAAGCUUGCAUGAAGAGAUGGAGCCGAAUCCAGUUCUGAUGACAUCAUUUGAGCUCUGGUUCCAUGUGCCUAAAGCAAGAAUUCUACACUUUUCAGUUCCAUGGGUCA
rnacentral:lncRNA from 10 species